rnacentral:lncRNA from 1 species
GUAGGAGUCAAAGAGGAUUCUGGGAGAUGUAGUAGAGAAGUGAUGGUCCAGGCAGGAAGUGACAUAGCAAGAAGACUCAUAUUUGAGCGAGGAGAAAUGGGAAGUUCCUUCUUUUCCCCUCUGCUCCUGUUCCAGCGACACAAUGUGAUCCACCAGCAAGGAUGAAUGCCAUAAGGCAUCUGAUAAGAGAAAAUCAAAAGCUGUGGGUUCCUUCCAGACUAAUAUGGUUUGAUCAAGCAAGACCCCCUAAAGCUGAGAUGAUACAGCCUUACAGACUACAAAAACAAGGACUUGGUCAGGGUUUAUCUUGGCAGUGAGACACAACUGCUCUUGGCACUCCAAUUACAUCAUAAAGGAGGAUGGGCAUCGAAUAAACUCAUUAUGGAGUUUGCUUUCAACAUGGCAAGUUUAGCCAUUUGGGCAAGAAACUGCUCUUGCCUGGACUGUUUGUUGCUGUAUAAACUGGACAUACAGGAUCCACAAAAAAGUGACUGCUGAACUUACAAAACAAGACAGUACUAAAGAGUUCCUGUUGAAAUGGAGACAUGUGCCAGACACACUAUGGCCUAUGGGCUGAAGAUGGAUGCCCCAACUUUACAGAGAAACUUUGGGUGACUGUCCAGAGUGUUCAUCCUGUAUCUGAUGGAAGCAGAAGCAGACACCCACAGCUAAACACUGAGCUGAACUGCUGGAAUCCAGUUGCAGAGAGGGCGGAGUGAUGAGCAAAGGGUAAAGACCGGCCUGGAGAAACCUACAGAAACAGGUGACCUGAACAUGGAUGGGGUUGUUCAUGGACCCCAGACUGAUAACUGGUGAACCAACACCGAACCAAACGAGGCUUCCUGAAUGUGGGUGUCAGCUAGGAUCACUGGGCAGUCUAUGGGGCCUCUGGCAGUGAAACCAGGAUGUAUCCCUAAUGUAGAAACAGACUUCAGGAGCCCAUUUACCAUGAAAGGAUAUUAUCUUAGCCUAGAUACACAGGGGAGGGCCUAGGCCCUGACCCAAAUGACUGGACAGAUUUUUGAUGAUCCCUCAUGGAAGGCCUCACUCCUGGAGCGUGGAUGGGGGGAUUGGUAGGGCAAUGGGAGGAUGGGAGUAGAGGGAACUGGGAUUUAUAUUUAAAAUAAGAUUGUUUCUAAUUUAAAUAAAAUUUAUUUUAAAAGAAAAGGCA